rnacentral:rRNA from 1 species
UACGUAGGGUGCAAGCGUUGUCCGGAAUUAUUGGGCGUAAAGAGCUCGUAGGCGGUUCGUCACGUCGGCUGUGAAAACCUGAGGCUCAACCUCAGGCCUGCAGUCGAUACGGGCGGACUUGAGUACUGCAGGGGAGACUGGAAUUCCUGGUGUAGCGGUGAAAUGCGCAGAUAUCAGGAGGAACACCGUGGCGAAGGCGGGUCUCUGGCAGUAACUGACGCUGAGGAGCGAAAGCAUGGGAGCGAACAGG